UGACCUGAGCCGAAGUCAGAUGCUUAACCGACUAAGCCACCCAGGUGCCCCAUUUCAACCAUUUUGAAGUGUGCAUUUGAGUGGUAUUGAGUGUGUCACCAUCCAUGGAGGGGUGGUUUUGAAAGGGCAUCCCUGGACUUAGUGAGAUCUCAGCCACAAGCAUGAGGCUGAGGUCAAGGCUGCAGCUGCUCCCUUCAUGUGUGGGCGCUCACCAGUCUGCAGCGGAGCAAGGAGUCUGCAGCUCUUAUGGUUGACUCUCCAACCUCGUUAUUGGAGGCGCCCACUGCCUCUGGUGCACCCCAGGCCCCUGAGCCUCAUGGCUUUCAAGGGUUCGCCAAGCUCCCGUGUGCAGCAGUGCAGCGGACACACCGUCCUGUGUUCCAGGUGGGUGGAGAGGAGGAGGUGAUAUUGAUGGAGGCCACGCACGACACUCCCAGAGCUCCACAGCUCAUCCCAGGCCUUUUUCUGAGGCUGCCGGAACCUUCUUUGGAGCUCUGAAGGUCCAGCGUGCCUGGGACUCCAGACGAGUCAGCUACUGGCUGGGCCCAGCCUCUCUCCCUACAGAAGAGGGCACGGAAGAGUUUAGAGAAUAAGAAGCAAGCUUUGCAUGUCCACCUGGGUCAGGAAAUGGAACGGUGUCUCAGCUCCUGGGAAACCCCCGUCUUUCCUUCGCGGCCCCUCUGUCUUCCCAGAGGUCACAGCCUCCCGACAUGUGGCAGUCUUUGACACAUUCGUUAUUUCAUUGGUCUCCGAAGACCAGGAGUCAAGACACAGCUCAACCAAGUUCUCCCUCACAGGCUGCAAUCGAGGGGUCUCCUCUGGGGCUGUUCUGGAGAAGGGUCCCCACUCACAUGGUUGCUGGCAGCAUUUAGCUACCUUCUGGGCGUCAACAAGAGGUCCACUCCAUGGGGCAGCCACAGCAUGGCAGCUUGCUGCUUCAAGCCAGCGAGGAAGACCGUCUCCAAGCAAGAGAGGCGUUAUUAACCAUGGAAGCGACACCCAGUCCCCUUUCAGAAUUUUGUGGGUUAAAAGCAAGCCGUAGCAUCCACUAGCAUUGCCACAGUUCAAAAAAGAAAACAAGGGGGAAAGGAAGAAAGAAAAUAUAAUUGCUGGUGAAGAUGUGGAGGAACUGGAACCCUAAAUACUGCUGGUGGAACAGAGAAUAGGUCAGCUACUGUGCAGAAGAGUCCAGCAAUGAGUUCCUCAACGCGUUAGAAUUCUGUAACCCAACGACUACAUUCCUAGAUACACACCCAAGAGAACUGAAAGCAAGAACUCCGAUACUUGUGCACACACGUUUAUAGCUGCAUUUUUCACAAUAGCCAGAGGGUGAAAACAACCAAAUAUCCAUCAGCAGUUGGAUGGAUAGACAGAAGACAAAAUAUAGAAAACGGUAUGGAGGUUCCUCCAAAAAUUAAAUACCAUGUGAUCCAAUAAUUCCACUAGUGUGUGUUUAUCCAGGGGAAGUGAAAACACUGAUUUGAAGAGCUCUCUGCACUCCAGUGUUUUUUGCAGCAUUAUAUACGAACAAAAUGUGGUCUCUUCAUGCAAUGAAAUAUUAUUCAGCCAUAAAGAUGACUGAAAUUCUGAUUCAUACUAUAGCAUGGAUGAGCCUUGAGAACAUUAUGUUAAGUGAAAACGAAGCCAGAGACAAAAGAUCACAUAUAUGAACUAUCUAGCGUCAGUUCCGUACAGACAGUAGACAUGAUCUUCAGAGGUUCUGGGGGAGGAAUGGGAGUGACCUGGGGCACAGGGCUUCUGGGGCGAUGAAAAGGUUUGUAACUAGAUAGUGGUGUUGGUUGCACAGUAUGAAUGUGCUAAAUGCCACCGAAUUGUAUGCCCUAAAGUGGUUUAAAGGUUAACUUUGUUUUAUUUAUUGUUUAUAUUAAAAACAGCAAAACCCA